GACAGAGGGGGCAAGCGUUGCUCGGAAUUACUGGGCGUAAAGGGCGCGUAGGCGGGAUGGCAAGUCGGUCGUGAAAUCCCUCGGCUCAACCGAGGAACGUCGAUCGAUACUGCUGUUCUUGAGGAUUGCAGAGGAGACUGGAAUUCCCGGUGUAGCGGUGAAAUGUGUAGAGAUCGGGAGGAACACCGAUGGCGAAGGCGGGUCUCUGGGCAAUUCCUGACGCUGAGGCGCGAAAGCGUGGGGAGCAAACGGG
rnacentral:rRNA from 1 species